GGUCUAGUAGUGUAGAGGUUAUCACAUGGGAUUCUGAUCAUCAGGAGCAGAUUUCCCAUAACCCAGGUUCGAGUCCUGGCUAGACCU